CCUACGGGUGGCAGCAGUGGGGGAUAUUGCACAAUGGGGGAAACCCUGAUGCAGCGAAGCCGCGUGUGGGAAGACGGUCCUCUGGAUUGUAAACCACUGUCCCCAGGGACGAAGAUGACGGUACCUGGUGAGGAAGCUCCGGCUAACUACGUGCUAGCAGCCGCGGUAAUACGUAGGGAGCGAGCGUUGUCCGGAAUUACUGGGUGUAAAGGGAGCGUAGGCGGGGAUGCAAGUUGGGUGUCAAAACUACCGGCUCAACUGGUAGUCGCACUCAAAACUGCAGCUCUUGAGUGAAGGAGAGGCAGGCGGAAUGCCUGGUGUAGCGGUGAAAUGCGUAGAUAUUAGGAGGAACACCAGUGGCGAAGGCGGCCUGCUGGGCUUUUACUGACGCUGAGGCUCGAAAGUGUGGGGAGCAAACAGGAUUAGAUACCCUGGUAGUC
rnacentral:rRNA from 1 species